rnacentral:tRNA from 1 species
CGGCCGGAUGGGCCGGGCCGGCCGCCGCGUUCCAGCCGCCGCAAGGCGUCGAGGCCGCGCAGGCGGGGUUCGACGCCGCGCGGCUCG